UACGAAGGGGGCUAGCGUUGCUCGGAGUCACUGGGCGUAAAGCGCACGUAGGCGGCUUUCUAAGUCAGGGGUGAAAUCCUGGAGCUCAACUCCAGAACUGCCUUUGAUACUGGAGAGCUUGAGUCCGGGAGAGGUGAGUGGAACUCCGAGUGUAGAGGUGAAAUUCGUAGAUAUUCGGAAGAACACCAGUGGCGAAGGCGGCUCACUGGCCCGGUACUGACGCUGAGGUGCGAAAGCGUGGGGAGCAAACAGG
rnacentral:rRNA from 1 species